ACGCGAGCUGGGUUCAGAACGUCGUGAGACAGUUCGGUCCCUAUCCGUCGCAGGCGUAGGAAAUUUGAGAAGACCUGUCCUUAGUACGAGAGGACCGGGAUGGACGUACCUCUGGUGUACCAGUUGUCCUGCCAAGGGCAUGGCUGGGUAGCUAUGUACGGAAUGGAUAAGCGCUGAAAGCAUCUAAGCGCGAAGCCAACUUCAAGAUAAGAUUUCCCACCG
rnacentral:rRNA from 1 species